GUCCAAACCUCUGCCACUGGCAGCCUUGCUACACACUAAAUCAAGAUCUAGAUCAGGUUGCCCAGGGCCCCAUAUGGAAAAGAGGACAGAGGCUCCAGUCUGGUACCCAGAAUUCAGAGGGGUUAUCAUUCUUUAUAAUAAUGAACCAAAUAUCAGUGAGAAAAUCUCUGGCGUGUUUCUGUGAUUUAUUUUUCUAGGGACAAGUGAAUAGAAACUUAUGAACAAGGAGAAAAUGGUUCAAUUCUUGCUUUCCUCAGGUCACCAAAUUACUGUGAUAACUUUGACUGAAGUUCCUGCCAAGGAGAUUAUGAAGUGCACUUUGGGACCUGAGCUGAAACAAUGCCCAUCCCAUGAAUCCAAAGAAGCAGAUGAAAGCAGAGGACCUGUACGCACACUAAAGCUACAGUUUACUAUGAAGAAACUGCUCAGUCUCCCACAGUCAUAGAACCAUUGGAGUUUGGAGGGGACCUUCAAAGAUCUUCUAGUCCAACUCCUCUGCAAUGAACAGGGACACCUACAGCUUGAUCAGUUUGCUCAGAGUCCUGUCCAACCUGACCUUGAAUGUCUCCAAGGACAAAGCAUCCACCACUUCUCUGGGCAACAUCACUACCCUUACUGUAAAAACGUUUUUCUUAUAUCCAAUCCAAUGACAAAAUCAUUGACAAAGUAUCUUGCCGCUACAUGUGUAUAGGGACACAUAAAAUCUCAAGUAACAUAUGAAACAUUGUUUGUGGAAAAUAUAAUCAUCCAUCACCUAAAGGUCUACUUUUUGGCGCACUUAGAACCAACAACUCUUGCAUCUUACUCUAGUCAGCUUCAAUGCAUUUGCAGUUGCAGACACAUAAGACUGUGCCUCUGUCCUAGUAAAGAUCAAGAGUAAACAACAAUAAUAAGUGAUAACAAACCCUGGAAUCGCAGGCAUCAGCCGAGUGCAGCUUCUUUCUCCCAGCCAGGAGUCUGUUCAUGUGUGUUCAAGGCCAGCUCUGAUACAGUGAAACAGUGAACAAACUUAUAUGAGAAAGAAUUAUGAGCAGUCAUAGAAUCAUAAAAUCAUAGGCAUCAUCAUAGUCAUCUAGGGUCUGGGAGCUGCUUUUAGGCACAGGUUCCUACCACUGGUCCCUUAAGCCAUGUUGCAUUUAUAGCUGCACACAGAUGUCUAUCUUGAUUACUUGAGUUAGAUUUGUACUCCACUGUGUUUCUCUACAUUAUCUUCCUGGGUUUUGGCUACCAUGAUGAAAUAAGUCUUUGCAAAAAAGUUCAUCUCACAAAGGAACCCCUACUGGGAAUUUCCUUCCCAGUGCAGUUCUUUAGGAAGUCUAGUUUUUCAGUGAACGGAGUUUGAGUACACGGACAUCUACUGGAGUUACAAUAUCAUGUAAUGGAUGCAGUUCAGUGUCACUUGGGCGUAAAAUUUACAACUUUGUACGAUCAGAUAAGGAUUCAUUUUUACAGGAGGCCUCUUUUUAUGCUAUUUUUGACUGUGAAAUUAAGUUAUAAAAUAGAAUCAGAACUCCAUCUUAUUAGAAGCUAUACAGCAUUCUUAUCCUGAAGGAGUCACAGUUGUGUUUGGAUGAAUCUUUGACUUUGAAAAGGACACAGCAGUUAUUUUGUGGUUCCAAGUGAAAAUUUUCUCGAUCUUAUCAUUGAAUGAGAAAUAGUAAAAAUUUGUAAUGCAGAAAAUGCUGCUAUAAUUAUAUGAGCUAUAAUUUAGAACCAGAACAAUAUAUAAUCACAUAAACCUCUGGAAGAAGAAUUUUCUGACAAACCUCUCAUUUCAUCAAAUAAAGAAAUUAAGGAAAGACAGUUGCAAAAGCAAGAUUGAACAGAAAAAUAUAGUGAUGGAUUACAACGGCAAAUGCUGACAUGUAUCUAGAGACAUCUCUAAUUAGUGUCAGGAAAUUUGAGUAUGUUCUCAUCCAGAGUUUUCUCUAAGCUGCACAUCUCUUAAGUAUAAAUCCCUGGGGAAUAAGACUUGUAACAUAACUGAUGGAAUAACAGUGAGAAGAAAAACAGUGUAUUCUCAAGUACACAGAGUGGAACUUGUCAUUAACAUUUUCUGUCUUUUUACAAAGCCAGGUUUGCAUUUUAUAAUCAGGAUUCCAUGAACAAACCUGAGACUUCAGUGAAGAAUGGUUUUAUUUGAUCAGUUGACUGUUGAGUAACACUAAGAUAAACAAUGAACCAAUCAUUUUGUCUUACUCCUCUUUUCACUUUUGUAUGCCUGCCCCUUAUGGUGCCUGUAUACUUUUUGCCCUACAAAGCAAUACAUUCAAAAAAAGAUUAUUAAAGGACAAUAAAAAAUAGACCUGAAUUGAUGCUUAGUUCCAAUAAUGAAAUUUCAAGAUUUGUAGUGAAGCCAUAGGUUACCACGAGCUGAAAGAAUUGAGAUGGAGGAAAUGUUUACGUUGGAAAAGAAUACAAUGUGCUCUCCCACCAUGUGGGGUGAAGGGCAUUUUUGUGAAAUGCCCAGCUCAAGCUAUGCUGAACAAGUCAGUUUGACCAUGUGAACUCCCCCACCACCUAAAAACCUAGGGUCCUGCUCUUAUGUGCCUGAGAUUUGGGGUGGCAAAAGGGAAGAGUGGGGGGGGAGCUUUCCCACUCUACUUUUUCCCCUCUUUUUUCUCAUAGUCUGGAACUCUAUCUUUUUUAAUGCAACUGUAAAACAAGCGAAAUGAAGCUGACAGCAGGUGCUGUGAUCAGUGCUGAUAUAACCCUGUCUCAGCCCUGCACAUCUGAUCAGAAUGUACGCUGUGCCUGAGGCUCUCCAGUUGUGAUUAUCUUAGUCAUACCUUAGGCAGAAACUGCAUUUUCUGUCUUGUUUCUCUUUUCUGACCCCUUCUUUGAACGUUCUUUUAUUCCUUCUGGAAAGAGGAUCAGGUUGAGUAGCAACAGAAAAGCUAGAACUCCAAAAAAGCUCAAUUGUCUUCUCUUUUUAUUCCAGAAGAACUGUUAUUACUGUUACUAAAAGACAGUCAAAGAAGGGAGUUUCCCUAUAAGAACUCCUUGCUGCUAAGGGGGAAAGAGAUAAUAUUUAACUCUAAAUCUUUUACUCUAUAUUCACUCUACAUUUCAAGUGACUUAGCAGUUUUUCCUUUUUCAGGGUCUGUAAUCAAAGGAUAGAUUUGGAAUGCUGGUUAUUACAAUGGGAGUUUGCCAGCAAUAACUUGAAACCCAGAUAAUGCUUCACUGUUUAUGUUGUAACUGUGAGCAAGUUAUACUGACAUCUUAUCUUUUGUUGGGCACAAGAUAGGUUAUGUUCAACACAGCUCUCAUAUCACUUAGGAAAAGUAAAACUUGUUUGUCUUCUCUAUAGUUUAACAGAAGAGCGUAUUCCCAACUGCUUAUAGCCUUGCUAAGUUUUUAUUGUUUGCAUUCUGGAACCAUUCCCUGCUGUACGUAUACCUCAGAGACUUGCUCGGGAAAGCGUCAGCUAAAGCACUUCAGUCACUUCCAAGAACAAGAUUUCUAAGAAUUUUGAUUAAAAAGCUCAGAGGUGAGGAGUGUGAUAGUGGGGCUGACUGGGCAAGAACCCAUAGGGCACAGGUCCUGUGCAAAGAAUAGUAAGCAAUAACAUAAUUUAUCAUAAUGCAAACUCACUCAUAAAGAGACUGAAAUAAGGAGGCAAAAGAAACUUGAAACACUUGAACUUCAUAAUUUAUAAGAAUUUGACUUGCAACAUUAAUACUGUUCUUUUAGUGUGGUGUUUUGGUGCAUAUCAAUUUCUAAGACACUACUGCUAUAGAAAGAAAUAACGUACUUCUGUUAAUUGUGAACAUGAACCAUACUAGAGGUUGGGAAUCUUGAUGUAGACUUCAGCUUUCUGUAAUGUAGACUUUCAGCAAACCAGUAUGGAAAACAAAUGCCUGGCUAGCAAGCAACUGAAGAGUGUAAGUGUAGUUGCAAGCAACUACAGCAAGUCAAUAUUUCUGACUCACUUUUUCCAGAAUGAGAGGUCGCUCAUGGAUACAACUUUAAAUAAAACAGAAGAUGAGGCUUUAGUUUUUGCAUGUCUAGCAAAAAUAUCAUGAAAACUAUUCGUAAAUGGUGUCCUUACUUAAGUAAACUUUUGUCAGAUCUAGGCAAUUUGGCGUGCCUUUUGUUUAUAAACUUGAACUUUGAAAAGCUUCCUCUGUUUUUGUAAUUACACG
ensembl:lncRNA